rnacentral:rRNA from 1 species
CCUACGGGUGGCAGCAGUGGGGAAUAUUGGACAAUGGGCGCAAGCCUGAUCCAGCAAUGCCGCGUGGGUGAAGAAGGUCUUCGGAUUGUAAAGCCCUUUCGGCGGGGACGAUGAUGACGGUACCCGCAGAAGAAGCCCCGGCUAACUUCGUGCCAGCAGCCGCGGUAAUACGAAGGGGGCUAGCGUUGCUCGGAAUCACUGGGCGUAAAGGGCGCGUAGGCGGCUCUGUUAGUCAGGCGUGAAAUUCCUGGGCUCAACCUGGGGACUGCGCUUGAUACGGCGGGGCUUGAGGAUGGAAGAGGCUCGUGGAAUUCCCAGUGUAGAGGUGAAAUUCGUAGAUAUUGGGAAGAACACCGGUGGCGAAGGCGGCGAGCUGGUCCAUUACUGACGCUGAGGCGCGACAGCGUGGGGAGCAAACAGGAUUAGAUACCCCUGUAGUC